rnacentral:rRNA from 1 species
GCGCGAGUUUAGGGAUAGUGGCGAACGGGUGAGUAAAAGGUAGGAAUCUACCCCUUGGACGGAGAUAGCUACUGGAAACGGUAGGUAAACUUCGAUAAGCCCGAGAGGGGAAAGUGGUGAGACAGCCGAGGGAUGAGCCUACUCUCCAUCAGGUAGUUGGUGAGAUAAAAGCUUACCAAGCCGAUGACGGAUAACCGGUGUGAGAGCAUGAACGGUCACAAGGGCACUGAGAGACGGGCCCUACUCCUACGGGAGGCAGCAGUGGGGAAUCUUGGACAAUGGGCGAAAGCCUGAUCCAGCGACGCCGCGUGGAGGAAGAAGUCCUUCGGGAUGUAAACUUCUGAACUAGCCGAAUAAAAGGCCUGUGGACACACAGGAGAAGAAAGUAGGCUAGGAAAAGUCCCGGCUAACUACGUGCCAGCAGCCGCGGUAAGACGUAGGGGGCAAGCGUUACCCGGAAUUACUGGGCGUAAAGGGGGCGUAGGCGGUAAAAGAAGUCAUCUGUGAAGACCUAUUGCUCAACGAUAGGCUAGCGGAUGAAACUGAAUUACUUGAGGGCACCAGAGGUAGACGGAAUUACCCGAGUAGGGGUGAAAUCCGCAGAUACGGGUAGGAACGCCGGUGGAGAAGUCGGUCUACUGGGGUGCACCAGACGCUGAGGCCCGAAAGCUAGGGGAGCAAACCGGAUUAGAUACCCGGGUAGUCCUAGCCGUAAACGAUGCUCACUAGGUGUAGGGAGUGAUAAACUCUCUGUGCUGAAGCGAACGCGCUAAGUGAGCCGCCUGGGGAGUACGUCCGCAAGGAUGAAACUCAAAGGAAU